rnacentral:rRNA from 1 species
CCCUUAGAUGUUCUGGGCCGCACGCGCGCUACACUGAUGCAUUCAACGAGCCUAUCCUUGACCGACAGGUCCGGGUAAUCUUUGAAUCUGCAUCGUGACGGGGAUAGACUAUUGCAAUUAUUGGUCUUCAACGAGGAAUUCCUAGUAGACGUAGUUCAUCAGACUGCAUCGAUUACGUCCCUGCCCUUUGUACACACCGCCCGUCGCUCCUACCGAUUGAAUGCUCAGGUGAGCCAUUCGGACUUUCAUCAUGCUGGUUUCCAGUUUUGAUGAAGGAAAGUCUUGCGAACCUUAUCAUUUAGAGGAAGGAGAAGUCGUAACA